UGGGGAAUCUUGGACAAUGGGGGCAACCCUGAUCCAGCCAUGCCGCGUGAGUGAUGAAGGCCUUAGGGUCGUAAAGCUCUUUCGCCUGUGAAGAUAAUGACGGUAGCAGGUAAAGAAACCCCGGCUAACUCCGUGCCAGCAGCCGCGGUAAUACGGAGGGGGUUAGCGUUGUUCGGAAUUACUGGGCGUAAAGCGCACGUAGGCGGACCAGAAAGUUGGGGGUGAAAUCCCGGGGGCUCAACCCCGGAACUGCCUCCAAAACUAUUGGUCUAGAGUUCGAGAGAGGUGAGUGGAAUUCCAAGUGUAGAGGUGAAAUUCGUAGAUAUUUGGAGGAACACCAGUGGCGAAGGCGGCUCACUGGCUCGAUACUGACGCUGAGGUGCGAAAGUGUGGGGAGCAAACAGGAUUAGAUACCCUGGUAGUCCACACCGUAAAACGAUGAAUGCCAGUCGUCGGGUAGCAUGCUAUUCGGUGACACACCUAACGAUAAGCAUUCCGCUGGGAGUACGGUCGCAAGAUUAAAACUCAAAGGAAUUG
rnacentral:rRNA from 1 species